rnacentral:rRNA from 1 species
AGAGUUUGAUCAUGGCUCAGAUUGAACGCUGGCGGCAUGCUUUACACAUGCAAGUCGAACGGCAGCACGGGUGCUUGCACCUGGUGGCGAGUGGCGAACUGGGUGAGUAAUAUAUCGGAACGUAUCCGGAAGUGGGGGAUAGCUCGGCGAAAGCCGGAUUAAUACCGCAUAUGCCCUGAGGGGGAAAGGGGGGGAUCCGCAAGGACCUCUCGCUUUCGGAGCUGGCCGAUAUCAGAUUAGCUAGUUGGCGGGGUAAAGGCCUACCAAGGCGACGAUCUGUAGCGGGUCUGAGAGGAUGAUCCGCCACACUGGGACUGAGACACGGCCCAGACUCCUACGGGAGGCAGCAGUGGGGAAUUUUGGACAAUGGGCGCAAGCCUGAUCCAGCCAUGCCGCGUGAGUGAAGAAGGCCUUCGGGUUGUAAAGCUCUUUCAGAUGGGAAGAAACGGACAUGGUUAAUAACUGUGUCUAAUGACGGUACCGUCAGAAGAAGCACCGGCUAACUACGUGCCAGCAGCCGCGGUAAUACGUAGGGUGCGAGCGUUAAUCGGAAUUACUGGGCCGUAAAGCGUGCGCAGGCGGUUUUGUAAGACAGGUGUGAAAUCCCGGCUUAACCUGGGACUGCAUUUGUGACUGCAAGCUAGAAGUCCGCAGAAAGGGGGUAGAANUCCNCGUGGNACANUGAAAUCGUAAAUNNUGGAGGAAUCCCAAUGCCAAGNAGCCCCUUGGUCGAACUGANCCNUAUCNCAAANCUGGGACAACAGGAUUAAACCUGGAGCCCGCCUAACAUGNACUAG